CCUACCUGCCCCGGGACUAUUGUUCAACGGCCGCGGUAUCUUGACCGUGCUAAGGUAGCGAAAUCACUUGUCUUUUAAAUGAGGACCUGUAUGAACGGUGAAACGAGGGCUUAACUGUCUCCUUUCUCAAGUCAGUGAAAUUGAUCUGCCCGUGCAGAAGCGGACAUAAACAUACAAGACGAGAAGACCCUUUGGAGCUUAAGACAUAUGGUCAACUGUGUCAAAAAUCACACUAAAAAGAUUAAACAAAACAAUAACUGGCCCUGCGUCUUCGGUUGGGGCGACCGCGGGGGAAAACAAAGCCCCCAAGUAGAAUGGGAUACUCCCUAAAACCAAGAGUGACACCUCUAAGUCACAGAACCUCUGACUGAAAGAUCCGGCUUACGCCGAUCAACGAACCAAGUUACCCUAGGGAUAACAGCGCAAUCCCCUCCAAGAGCCCGUAUCAACAAGGGGGUUUACGACCUCGAUGUUGGAUCAGGACAUCCUAAUGGUGCAGCCGCUAUUAAGGGUUCGUUUGUUCAACGAUUAAAGUCCUACGUGAUCUGAG
rnacentral:rRNA from 1 species